AACUGUCUGUGAUGAAUUUUUUGAAAACAAUGGGAAUCUCUCUGAAAAAGAGUGAAAGAUUUCUUAUUUUUCUGAUGCAGUU